AGAGUUUGAUCCUGGCUCAGGAUGAACGCUGGCGGCGUGCCUAAUACAUGCAAGUCGAGCGAACAGACGAGGAGCUUGCUCCUUUGACGUUAGCGGCGGACGGGUGAGUAACACGUGGGUAACCUACCUAUAAGACUGGGAUAACUUCGGGAAACCGGAGCUAAUACCGGAUAAUAUUUCGAACCGCAUGGUUCGAUAGUGAAAGAUGGCUUUGCUAUCACUUAUAGAUGGACCUGCGCCGUAUUAGCUAGUUGGUAAGGUAACGGCUUACCAAGGCAA
rnacentral:rRNA from 1 species